rnacentral:rRNA from 1 species
GAUGAACGCUGGCGGCGUGCCUAAUACAUGCAAGUCGAGCGAACAGACGAGGAGCUUGCUCCUCUGACGUUAGCGGCGGACGGGUGAGUAACACGUGGAUAACCUACCUAUAAGACUGGGAUAACUUCGGGAAACCGGAGCUAAUACCGGAUCAUAUAUUGAACCGCAUGGUUCAAUAGUGAAAGACGCUUUUGCUGUCACUUAUAGACGGAUCCGCGCCGCAUUAGCUAGUUGGUAAGGUACCGGCGUACCAACGCGACGAUGCGUAGCCGACCUGAGAGGGUGAUCGGCCACACUGGAACUGAGACACGGUCAAGACUCAUACGGGAGGCAGCAGUGGGGAAUCUUACACAAUGGGCGGAAGCCUGACGAAGCAACGCCGCGUGAGUGAAGAAGGUCUUCGGAUCGUAAAACUCUGUUGUUAGGAAAGAACAAAUGUGUGAGUAACUAUGGACGUCUUGACGGUACCUAAACAGAAAGCCACGGCUAACUACGUG